ACGCCGCAUAUCUCUUAUGCCCCGAUUCAACUGGCUCUCUUCUCCCCAAGAUUACAGCCCCGAUUGGAACGACUGGUGGCGGCAGAUCGGGGGAGGUCGCCCUACAGGCUGAGCUCGAAUCCACGCAAACAUCCCGCCCUGCGAGGAUCCGGCCCUCUUCUCCCCCCAAUUGCAGCGACCAGGGACGCCAGCUUGAAGGAGGCCGCCCCGCCGCCGAGCUUGGAUCCACCGCAUCAACCUGCCCAGCGAGCACCCUGCUGUCUUUUCCCCAACGCCUGGCGACGUCUCUCGGUGAUUUCCUCAUCCUGCCACCCCUUGGCGUUCAAUGGUUAGGGUUCAUGCGUACUACUACUCAUCCCACCCUUCUCUGCAAUUAGUUAUUUGCCAUAGCCUGCGAUGGUAAAAAGCCUGAACCUCCUGCUAGAUAACUUUACUUAUAUCCUAUUGAUUGGUCUGUGUGCAAAACUACACUAGUGAGAACAUGGUUUUGCAUUUGUUAUAGCCUGCUAUUGUAAAAAGGGCUGAACCUGAAUAUAUGCUACUGCAGUAUAGUUACUGUUACUGAAAAGUUCAGUUAGGCAUGAGAUGCGUGGCCUUAGCUGGGAGAUUUCUUUUGCCGCCAUGUGCUUGUAUGGCUACUCUUGCAUUCAGAACAAAAUUAUAUGUUAACCAUCUGAUGGUUGUACCCUGCUGUGAUUAUAAAACUAGAUGCUCUCGGUCGAUGUAUGGUGUCAUAAUCAGACGAACAUAAACGCACGAACUAAAGUAUGCAACAUAUAAAAGGAGAACUAAUUACAAGCGGGAAGCAGUGCAUCCUUGUAUCCCUGUAUCUACAUGUCGGAAUAAACUAGCUUCCUGAUGCAGCCACUUUAUCUAUGCUAAAAUGCAAAACUGAAUUUUAUUUUUGUGGUUCUGAUGCCCCAUAAAUAGUCCUUAAGUAGUGCUGUCAAAACUGAAUAAAGACUGAGACAACACUUGAUUUUGACUCGUUAAAGAGAUGUUUAGCUCUGUAUCAGUGUACUUUUCUCUCCAGUACUAGUUAAAAGAGAACUAAACCUAAUAUUUGCCAUGCCUCUCCUAAUUUAGCUACCCAUGAUGUUAAGCGUCUGAAGCCCACAAGCAUUUUCAGUAUGACCAGAACUUUGAUAAAAGCGGAUACAUUGUAAGCUUCAGUAUUCUACUAUAUUCUCACAUACUAACCUGGGUAAAAUCAAGCUGCUCCUACUUUGCAAACAUACAACACCAUCCAUCGAGCCUUAAGUGUAAAAGAGUAGUAAACUUUCUGGUUUCUAAACUAUGCCAGUAGCUACGGUAAUAAUAUUUUUUUCCUGUUUUUUGUUCUGAACAUUUAGGUCUUGUUUUUCUUGGCUUGCUGGCUAUUAAUUGCUUUGCUUGUUAGAUCCCAAUGCGUGAGAUCAUCAUUUAUAUACAAUAUUAGUGCAUCAUGUGCUUGCAUCCUAACUUAUCUACUUUGUUAUAUUCAUGUAAGCUCCAGGAAGGGGCUUUGAGAGAUGAAGAGGAAGCAACCCUUUCUAUGUCCAAAGCAAUGGUACCUAAAGGUUGUACCAUGCCAAAAACGAAAACACAAAACUGAGAAGCUGUCGAGCAUCACCAAAAGACUGGAUCUAGGUCUUAUGUUUCCACUUUCAGCAAAAUUAAAAAGGCAAGUACAAUAAUCAGAACCCAAGUCUUGAGUUUUUCAAAGAGACACAUACGAACAGGAAGACUGACGGCAUGAGCGAGCCGACACAUCUACCCUAUAAUGCGACUGAAAAGAAAAGGGAAACACAAUCAGAAGGUGAGUAACCAGUGUGCGACUCAAUGAUUGUGGCUGAAGUUCUAAAGGAAGAAAGCACCCAUAGCACCUUCCUUUCCAGCAUGAGUUAUGCAUCAAGAUCCGAGAGAUUUGGGAGCUUUACUUCAUCAGCACAUAUUUGAGUUCUAGAAUAAAGAAUUGAACAAAAGGAUGGUGAGGCGAGAGAUGCGAGGGACAGGAGUUAGUGGCGAGACUUGAAGCACAAGCAAAGAGCAUUUGAAGAGACGCGGAGGAAGCAACACGAAGAAUUCGAAUAUGUGAAGAAGAUCCGGCAAGAGAAGAAUGAAGCCUGGAAAAAGAAUUAACAAGAGACGAAUAACCUGAUUGGUUUUCUCCUAAGUGCUCAAGCAACUUAGCAGUCCCAAUCCACACCUAAUGUGGCAUGAAGGCCAUCCUUUUGCGAUGGAAAGAUAGUUGUUGCAUCAUAUAUUACAAUCAUCAGGAUAGCACAUGUGGUCUUUACUUAUCUAAAUAUUGCUUUUUAACUUGUCUAUUGUUGUCUCAAACUCGUGAGCUAGUGUUACUUUUUACUAUCAUUUAUGUUGAGAGGACGGUUGAGCUGAGAUGAAGUAUAUAAUAUUGUAAAUUUAUGAUGUGAUUUGGAUCUUAACUUAUUUAUAUAAUGUGAUAUGAAUUAAAUACUUA